rnacentral:rRNA from 1 species
GCGGUGGAUGAUGUGGUUUAAUUCGAUGCAACGCGAAAACCUACCUACCUUGACAUGUCAAGAAUUUGCAGAGAUGUGAAAGUGCUCGAAAGAGAACUUGAACACAGGUGCUGCAUGGCCGUCGUCAGCUCGUGUCGUGAGAUGUUGGGUUAAGUCCCGCAACGAGCGCAACCCUUGUCAUUAGUUGCUACCGCAAGGAGCACUCUAAUGAGACUGCCGGUGACAAACCGGAGGAAGGUGGGGAUGACGUCAGGUCCUCAUGGCCCUUAUGGGUAGGGCUACACACGUCAUACAAUGGCCGGUACAGAGGGCUGCCAACCCGCGAGGGGGAGCCAAUCCCAGAAAACCGGUCGUAGUCCGGAUCGUAGUCUGCAACUCGACUGCGUGAAGUCGGAAUCGCUAGUAAUCGCGGAUCAGCUUGCCGCGGUGAAUACGUUCCCGGGUCUU